rnacentral:lncRNA from 1 species
CCCAAAGGCAACAAUCAGAGGGAGACUAUUUUCCACUCCAGGUUCCUGGUCAACGAAAAAGUCUAUAGUGUGAUAGUUGAUAGAGGCAGUUGUGCUAAUGUUGCCAGUACCUUGCUAGUGGAUCGGGUAGGGUUGACGUGUAAAUAAUACCCUAUUCUCUAUAAAUUGCACUGUUGGAUGAUAGCAAAGAGAUCGACAUCACCUAACAGGUAUGUGUCC